rnacentral:rRNA from 1 species
AGAUAAUGUGCCCCUUAGUUCGGGAUAGCCACUGGAAACGGUGAUUAAUACCGGAUACUCCUUCUUGUUAUAAGACAAGUCGGGAAAGUUUUUCGCUAAGGGAUCAGUCUAUGUUCCAUCAGCUUGUUGGUGAGGUAAUGGCUCACCAAGGCUAUGACGGAUAUCUGGUUUGAGAGGAUGAUCAGACACACUGGAACUGAGACACGGUCCAGACUCCUACGGGAGGCAGCAGUGAGGAAUAUUGCACAAUGGAGGAAACUCUGAUGCAGCAACGCCGCGUGGAGGAUGACGCAUUUCGGUGUGUAAACUCCUUUUAUUAGGGAAGAUAAUGACGGUACCUAAUGAAUAAGCACCGGCUAACUCCGUGCCAGCAGCCGCGGUAAUACGGAGGGCGCAAGCGUUACUCGGAAUCACUGGGCGUAAAGGGUGCGUAGGCUGGCUUUUAAGUCAGAUGUGAAAUCCAAUGGCUCAACCAUUGAACUGCAUUUGAAACUGAAAGCCUAGAGUUCAGAAGGGGCAGAUGGAAUUAGUGGUGUAGGGGUAAAAUCCGUAGAUAUCACUAGGAAUAUCAAAAGCGAAGGCGAUCUGCUGGGAUGAUAC